UAGCUCAGUUGGUAGGGUGUGAGACUCUUGAUCUCAGGGUCUUGGGUUUGAGCCCCAC
rnacentral:tRNA from 1 species